CAGGAUGAACGCUGGCGGCGUGCCUAAUACAUGCAAGUCGAACGCUUUGUGGUUCAACUGAUUUGAAGAGCUUGCUCAGAUAUGACGAUGGACAUUGCAAAGAGUGGCGAACGGGUGAGUAACACGUGGGAAACCUACCUCUUAGCAGGGGAUAACAUUUGGAAACAGAUGCUAAUACCGUAUAACAAUGACAACCGCAUGGUUGUUAUUUAAAAGAUGGUUCUGCUAUCACUAAGAGAUGGUCCCGCGGUGCAUUAGCUAGUUGGUAAGGUAAUGGCUUACCAAGGCGAUGAUGCAUAGCCGAGUUGAGAGACUGAUCGGCCACAAUGGGACUGAGACACGGCCCAUACUCCUACGGGAGGCAGCAGUAGGGAAUCUUCCACAAUGGGCGAAAGCCUGAUGGAGCAACGCCGCGUGUGUGAUGAAGGGUUUCGGCUCGUAAAACACUGUUGUAAGAGAAGAAUGACAUUGAGAGUAACUGUUCAAUGUGUGACGGUAUCUUACCAGAAAGGAACGGCUAAAUACGUGCCAGCAGCCGCGGUAAUACGUAUGUUCCAAGCGUUAUCCGGAUUUAUUGGGCGUAAAGCGAGCGCAGACGGUUAUUUAAGUCUGAAGUGAAAGCCCUCAGCUCAACUGAGGAAUUGCUUUGGAAACUGGAUGACUUGAGUGCAGUAGAGGAAAGUGGAACUCCAUGUGUAGCGGUGAAAUGCGUAGAUAUAUGGAAGAACACCAGUGGCGAAGGCGGCUUUCUGGACUGUAACUGACGUUGAGGCUCGAAAGUGUGGGUAGCAAACAGGAUUAGAUACCCUGGUAGUCCACACCGUAAACGAUGAGUGCUAGGUGUUUGAGGGUUUCCGCCCUUAAGUGCCGCAGCUAACGCAUUAAGCACUCCGCCUGGGGAGUACGACCGCAAGGUUGAAACUCAAAGGAAUUGACGGGGACCCGCACAAGCGGUGGAGCAUGUGGUUUAAUUCGAAGCAACGCGAAGAACCUUACCAGGUCUUGACAUCCCUUGACAACUCCAGAGAUGGAGCGUUCCCUUCGGGGACAAGGUGACAGGUGGUGCAUGGUUGUCGUCAGCUCGUGUCGUGAGAUGUUGGGUUAAGUCCCGCAACGAGCGCAACCCUUAUUACUAGUUGCCAGCAUUCAGUUGGGCACUCUAGUGAGACUGCCGGUGACAAACCGGAGGAAGGUGGGGAUGACGUCAAAUCAUCAUGCCCCUUAUGACCUGGGCUACACACGUGCUACAAUGGCGUAUACAACGAGUUGCCAACCCGCGAGGGUGAGCUAAUCUCUUAAAGUACGUCUCAGUUCGGAUUGUAGGCUGCAACUCGCCUACAUGAAGUCGGAAUCGCUAGUAAUCGCGGAUCAGCACGC
rnacentral:rRNA from 1 species